rnacentral:lncRNA from 1 species
AGAGGGAGGAGUUAAGGAGACAGACAGAGAGAGAGAGAGAUCUGAGGAGAAGAGGGAGAACCAAAAUGGAGGCUGACGUGGUGUUAUCAAAGAGACUCUUGUGCUGCGUGACCCCUGACUGUAACCAAGUGUCCUUCUCUCUGAGACGUUCCCUCGGAGCUUGUUCUCACAGCCCUCACCUCCAGUGACCUCCACGAACUUUUCCACACGAGGGGUUCUCUGCUUCCCUCCAUCUGAGCUGCGCAAUUCCACCAGGCCUUUUGCUCCUCUUCAGUCAGGUGCUUUGGAGGUAAUGAAGUCUUUCGGGGGAAAAAUAAACAAAGGAAAUGCACCCGGUUGAUGUCAAUGGACUUGUUUAACUAUUUAAGGCCACUGUCUCCAAGUGUAAGUGUGCUGCGGUGUGUUUUGUAAAGUAGCGCUUAUAAUCCACUGAGCUUUCCAAACAGCCCUCUUGCCUAUUAAGCCUGCAUUGAGAAGUGGGUUUAAUUUGCCAGAGUAGUUUUUUGUGAUAAUUACAGGACUUGCAGAUUAGCUUGAGUGACUUGGCAAGGUUCUGUAGCUAAUAAAAAAUCACACAGGAAAAAAAUUGUAACAUUCAAUUGCUUCAAGGUUCUUCACGAGAGAAACAUUAAACAAACCUGAUAGGCCAGUUUCCAGUCUGUGAAGGGACUUGGAGGCAAGCCGGGAGAGAGGGAGGAGAAAGAGAUCGCCAUGAUGGGGAAGAAGGAAGAGGAGACCUAAAGGCCAGCUGACAUGUGAGAAUCAGGGAAAGUGGCCACACGGGCCACUUCCACAGCUGUGUUUGAGCAGGACUUUGGGUCCCUAACCUGCAACUCAGCACUCAGUCCAUCAUGGGCUUUGCUAGUCUCUGUGACUUCUCCAGGGCAGGAAAGUGACAGGUUUCUGCGCAAGGGAGCCCGAGGUACCUGGUUCAGGAUGGAGAGGGCACUUGAGAGGCGUCAAAAGCAAGCACAGUUAGAGGACAUCAGCGAUGUUAAAACCCCACGAGGGUCAACAGUAGCCCAGGCAAAAUAAAGGAGCCUGAAGUGGAAAAACAGAAAUGGAACAAGACGUUUGUUCUGGAGCACGUGAGAUUGUCCUUCUAAGACAUUUCCAGAAGUAUUCAAAGGAAGAUUUAAUGGGAAAUCAUUAUGCAAAAGAGUCAGUAAUAUAUUUUAGUUUCAAAAAGUACGGAGCGUGACGCCUGUCAAUUAUACCUUCUGCAAAGGUGAGUGGCGGUUGUCCUUGCUGUUCCAAAAUGCAAAGAGAAACAAACAAACAAACAAACAAGCAAACCAGCUACUCCUAUUCCGCACUCCAAACACCAAGCAGAAAUGCUUCUGGGACAAACUGAGCUUCAUUCUUUAUGAAAAUGAAAACACUUCUUUCUGUGCACUAGGAAAAUGUUCUGCCUCUGAGCUGCAAAACCAGCACCAAACUUGAAAAGUUUGUGCAUCAAAGGAAAAAGGCAACCUACAGGAUGGGGGAGAAUAUUUGCAGGACACAUGUCCUGGAAGGAAUACAUAUUUAGACUGAAUAAAAUGAGUAAGAGGAGGGAUAGGGAGUUCGUGUUCAAUGUUGAGAGCUUGGGACAGUUGAGAAAACGCUCCGGAGUGUUCUGCAGAUGAAUGAUGGUGACGACUGCAUCAGUGUGAAUGUCCUUAACGCCGUCAAAAAUUGGUUAUAAUGGCAAAUUUUAUGCUACAUAUGUUUUACUACAAUAAAAAUGCCAGGAAAAUCUAACUGCUCCAAAUCCUGAAUUUAUUAACCCAAUAAAUUAGGAGAUGGUUAUUGACCUAUAAAUGGAUUUGUCAAUUUUUAAAAUGAUUUCCUUUAAAUUGAAUUCUUUCCUAGAGCUUUAUUGUCUCUUCACAAACCAUUAAACACUUGUUAAAGUGUUCAGAGAGGGCUGAGAUGGAGGAGGAAGUGAAAACCAAACAAACAGAUGAGGGACCUUCCCCAAAUGAUGUCUGCUAACAGGCUUCUUGGGUAUUCUAUUUAUAUAGAUUUUACAAGUGUUUUAUUUGAGAGGAAAAAUCCCUAGACCUUACAUAGUACAAUGAACUUCUUAUGCCUGUCAGCUAGAUUUAUUAAUUUUUAACGAGGUGUAUUACUUUUAAAAGCUAUCUAUUUACUAUUGGGGGAGGGAGAAGGACAAAGGACAUCUUGCAGAAGUCUGGUCUCUCCUGCUAUGUGGGUUCUGGAGAUAGGAAAUCAGGCAGGUUGUCAGGCCUAGAAGCAAAGGCCUGUCUGCACUGAGCCAUCUUACUUGUCUUAUUUUGUUACUUUUGAUGACCUAUUUUAGACAUCACUAUUCUAUAGCCCUAAGUAUAACUUCAAGUAUGUAUCUUCCACAAUGACUUUAUGACCAUGAAAUCAAUUCAAGAAAUUUAACAUGUAUGCAGUUCUAUCCAGCGUACAUACAGAUUUCUCAUCCCCCCUUUUACUGUAGUUUAUAGAAAAAGCAAUUCUCUUCCAUAUCUAGAGUUUGACAAGGAAUAUGCAUUGCAUUUGGUUUCUGUGUUCUUUAAUCUCUUGUUGUACAGAACUUCAACCUUUCAUGACAGGUUGAACAAUUUUGGAUCAUACAGGCUGUCAUGGUUUGAAUAUGUUUGGCCCAGGGAGUGGUACUGUUAGGGGUGUGGUCUUCUUGGAAUAGGUGUGUCACCGUGGGCGUGGGCUUUAAGACCCUCAUCCUUAGCUUCUGGAAGUCAGUCUUCCACUAGCAACCUUCAGAUGAAGAUGUAGAACUCUCACCAUCUCCUGCACUAUACCUGCCUGGAUAUCGCCAUGUUCCUGCCUUGAUGAUUAUGGACUGAACCUCUGAACCUGUAAGCCAGCCCCAAUUAAAUUUGUCCUUAUAAGAGUUACCUUGGUCAUGGUGUCUGUUCACAGCAGUAAAACCCUAACUAAGACACAGGCCAAUUACAGAAUGUCUCUUUUUGGUGUGUGCAGUGUUAAAGUUUGAAGCACAAGCCUAAUGCUUGUUAGACAAGCACUCUACCGCUGCUCUACAUCAGCAGCUCAGUGUGCCUCUUGUCUUGAUGGGCUCAUUGUUUUUUAUGACCCAGUGCAUUGGGGUGAGCAGCUCACACAGGUACGAAGGGGUCCCUCUCAGAGCUUAACAUCAGGGAACUCAAUGUUGGUUUGUCUGUUCUAUUUCAGCUGAGCUAGUAUCUGGCAGUUCCCCACAACCCCCAUCAAGUUACCACUUUUUUCUUUGUAAUUGUAAUUUGCAAAGAAAUAUUUGCAAGAUUAAGUAAUAGACUACACAACGUGUUUUAGCUUCCACUGAGCAUUCAGCCUGAACUGUUUUAUAAAGUUAUGAAAUGAUAGAUUUCCAACUUAAUAAUUAUUUUAAAGACUUAUUUUAUUUUUAGUUCUGCAUGUAUGCCUGUGUGUGCACGUGUGUACCUAUGUAUCUGUAUGGUUAUGUGCACAUGAAUGCAGAUGUCCAAGGAGAAGAGGCCAGACACAUUGGAUCCCUGGUGCUCAAGUGGGAGGUGGCUGUCAGCUGCUGUAGGAAGGUGAUGGGAACUCAGCUUGAGUCCUUUGCAAGAACAGCAUGAGCUCUUAAACACAGAGCCACAUCUUCAGUCCCUCUCUUAUUUUUUUAAAAAUUAUUCUCUCUCUGUGUAUGUGUGUGUAUACAGAGGUCAGAGGAUCAUUUUUGUAAAAUUAGUUCUCUCUACCUUUUUUUGUGGGCUCUGGGGACUAAACUCAAGUUGUUGGGAUUUUGUGACAAGUGCUGUAUCCACUGAGCCCUCUCACAUGCCCUUAAAUGUUAUUUUAAAUAAUAGCAAAUGAGUACGUUCAAGCAUACGAGAAUAAGCAUGUCCUAUUGAUUUGAAUAUGCAAAAGUAUGCCAAUUUUUUAAAUCUCUAUUACCAAGUGGACAAGUAUUCCAUUUUAUCUCCAAAAGUAAAGAUUUCUUUUAGAUACAGUCAUGUGGAUUAUACAACUUGACUGAAGCCAUGUCUCCAAGAUACAUACCUAGAGGGUAAAGGGAAUGCUUUAAAGGAGCGUGAUUAUGAAUAUCCAAGCUGAAAAUAAACACUAAUUACUAACAAAAAGGAUUACUGAGAAAAAUAUGGGUUGGUUUUCAGUACUUGACUCUGUAAAGUUAUUUCUUUUCUUAUUUAGUUUUUAUUCAUAAUCAUAAACUUAACUUUGCCAUCCAGCUAGACUUGAAGGGGAAUGAGGAAAAUAUGGAACCCAAAGAACUUGAGCAGAGAUUACAGGGUAUUUCAAGCAGAUGGGGUAGGGAUGCUCUCCUGCGCUACAGAAGGAAUGGUUGGAUGGGUAAAAUGCCUGCAAGUCAAAAGAAAUUAGAGUUAUCCACAGUCGGAAAUGGUCUUGCUGGUCUUUCCAUUCCUGGACCCAAAACACUCCAUGGCUUCCACAAUGUUCAUGCCUUCUUUCACCUUCCCAGACACCACAUGCUUGCCAUCCAGCCACUUAGUCUUGGCAGUGCAGAUAAAAAACUGGGAACCGUUUGUGUUGGUCCAGUAUUUGCCAUGGACAAGAUGCCAGGACCUGUAUGCUUCAGGAUGAAGAUCUCAUCCUCAAAUUUCUCUCCAUAGAUGGAUCUGCCGCCAGUGCCAUUAUGGCAUGUAAAGUCACCACCCUGGCACAUGAAUCCUGGAAUAAUUCUGUGAAAGGAGGAACCCUUCUAGUAAAAUCCUUUCUCUCCAGUGCUCAGAGCAUGAAAGUUUCCCGCUGUCUUUGGAACUUUGUCUGCAAACAGCUGGAAGGAGACUCUUCAAGGGCUCGUCAUCGGCCGUGAUGUCAGAGAACACGGUGGGGUCGACUGUGGCUACAGCAAGAGGACCAACGGUACUGUUGCUCUAGCUACAGGAAUAAUCCUGGGCAGCACUUGUUGACCUUGGUCACUGUCAAGGGAAGAUCGGCUGUUCCCACUGAGGGCAUCUUGAUGGAUUAAGGUGAUCAGCUGAUCAAUGUGAGGGGACAGAUGGGAGCUAGGAACUGUCUCGGUACUGAGUCAUUUUUCAUCUAAUGUGCAAGAAACCCAAAGAGCACAUCAAACAGCGAACUACGCCUAAGCUAUCCAUGUUUCUCCUGCUUCUUCUGAGAGGGUGAUUUACACGUAGCUCAACACUCGAGUGUUGCAGUAUCGAGUGACUGCAACCAAACAAUGGAACAUGCAUCGUGCCUGUUGACAGAGCCUGCAGUUGGCUUGGAACCGGGACCAUGCUGCAUUCGACAUCGUUCCUGGUGGCUGACUUGUUCCCAUAGAAUUAAAUGCUAGGCAUCCAGAAGCUGACUGUGCAUCUGAUGGGCUCACUAACAUUCAGGAACAGGUUGGCCUCAGACUUCAUCAAUGGAAAGUGUAGGCAUAGGACAAAAAAAAGAGCACGUUUGAAAGACUACAUUUUCAUGAAAUUGGAAAUGCUACAUGCAAGCUGCAGAUGCUGAUUGCAGAGUCAGAAGACAUGGCCGUCAGUGUUAGGACUCUGCCUUAUUCUGCUAUUUCUCCUUGACGACCUACAGUUUGCAUUGUGGGUGGCAUUCAUUAACGAGGGCAGUAAAAACAUGGAGAAAACAUUGCAAGCUCUCCUUCGUGUUUCGCUCACUGGCCAAGUAGCUAACCAACUAGGUGUUCAGGCUCCCAUGUGUCUCAAUAUGAUGUGGCUCCUUCCAGUAGCAACCAUCCUGAGCAGAGACCUUUGUUCUAAUUUAAAAAUUAGACAUGAUAUAGAGCUUACCACACAUUUUUCCCCCUGAAGAUUAAAGAUCUUCAUGAAGGUACUGGCUUAAAAGACAUCAACCCCAAGCCUUUCGAAGGAUAUGCACUUGAGAUUGCCAUACUCGAUGGUGCGUCCAAUUAACUUAGAAAUACCCUUGACAUUUCUCAUCCGUGAAGAGAAGCUUUAGGUGACAGUUUUCAUGGUGUGGGUACUCUCGGUGCCUAAUUUGCUUUUUUUUCUUGUUUUCAAGCCUGAAAGGGAAAUAGCCUUGGCUUUCAGCUCUGGAGCGCGAUGCCCUCCUUACGAGUAUUCAGCUACUGUCUGAACCAUUGUACUUGCCUUCCCCUCCAUACCCCUUUUUCCCCAAAGUCCCGUUGAUAGCUCAUU